rnacentral:rRNA from 1 species
GACGAACGCUGGCGGCGUGCUUAACACAUGCAAGUCGAACGGAAAGGCCCUGCUUUUGUGGGGUUCUCGAUUGGCGAACGGGUGAGUAACACGUGAGUAACCUGCCCUUGACUUUGGGAUAACUUCAGGAAACUGGGGCUAAUACCGGAUAGGAGCUCCUGCAUGGUGGGGGUUGGAAAUUUUCGGCGGUUUGGGUUUGACUCGAGGCUUAUCAGUUUGUUGGUGGGGUAGUGGCUUACCAAGGCUUUGACGGGUAGCCGGCCUGGGAGCGUGCACGGCCACCAUGGGCCUGCGGUAGGCACCAGACUCGUAUCGGCGGCAGCAGUCGGGAGUAUUGCAGAAUAGCGGGACGCCUGAGGCAGAAGCGCCGCGUGCGGGAUGCCGUCUUUCUGGUUGUAAACCGAUUUCGAAUGUGACGAAGAGUGAGUGACGGUAAUGGGUAAAGAAGCACCGGCUAACUACGUG